AGUGAACGCUGGCGGUAGGCCUAACACAUGCAAGUCGAACGGCAGCACAGUAUGAGCUUGCUCUUACGGGUGGCGAGUGGCGGACGGGUGAGGAAUACAUCGGAAUCUACUUUUUCGUGGGGGAUAACGUAGGGAAACUUACGCUAAUACCGCAUACGACCUACGGGUGAAAGCAGGGGAUCUUCGGACCUUGCGCGAUUGAAUGAGCCGAUGUCGGAUUAGCUAGUUGGCGGGGUAAAGGCCCACCAAGGCGACGAUCCGUAGCUGGUCUGAGAGGAUGAUCAGCCACACUGGAACUGAGACACGGUCCAGACUCCUACGGGAGGCAGCAGUGGGGAAUAUUGGACAAUGGGCGCAGGCCUGAUCCAGCCAUACCGCGUGGGUGAAGAAGGCCUUCGGGUUGUAAAGCCCUUUUGUUGGGAAAGAAAAGCAGCAGGUUAAUACCCCGCUGUUCUGACGGUACCCAAAGAAUAAGCACCGGCUAACUUCGUG
rnacentral:rRNA from 1 species